GAUGAACGCUGGCGGCGUGCUUAACACAUGCAAGUCGAACGGAAAGGCUCCUGCUUGCCGUGGUACUCGAGUGGCGAACGGGUGAGUAACACGUGGGUGAUCUGCCCUGCACUUCGGGAUAAGCCUGGGAAACUGGGUCUAAUACCGGAUAGGACGAUGGUUUGGAUGCCAUUGUGGAAAGUUUUUCGGUGUGGGAUGAGCUCGCGGCCUAUCAGCUUGUUGGUGGGGUAAUGGCCUACCAAGGCGUCGACGGGUAGCCGGCCUGAGAGGGUGUACGGCCACAUUGGGACUGAGAUACGGACCAGACUCCUACGGGCGGCAGCAGUGGGGAAUAUUGCACAAUGGGCGCAAGCCUGAUGCAGCGACGCCGCGUGGGGGAUGACGGCCUUCGGGUUGUAAACACCUUUCGCUAGGGACGAAGCGCAAGUGACGGUACCUGGAGAAGAAGCACCGGCUAACUACGUG
rnacentral:rRNA from 1 species